GACGAACGCUGGCGGCGUGCUUAACACAUGCAAGUCGAACGGAAAGGCCCUGCUUUUGUGGGGUGCUCGAGUGGCGAACGGGUGAGUAACACGUGAGUAACCUGCCCUUGACUUUGGGAUAACUUCAGGAAACUGGGGCUACUACCGGAUAGGAGCUCCUGCUGCAUGGUGGGGGUCGGAAAGUUUCGGCGGUUGGGGAUGGACGCGCGGUUUAUCAGCUUGUUGGUGGGGUAGUGGCUUACCAAGGCUUUGACGGGUAGCCGGCCUGAGAGGGUGACCGGCCACAUUGGGACUGAGAGACGGCCCAGACUCCUACGGGAGGCAGCAGUGGGGAAUAUUGCACAAUGGGCCGAAGCCGGAUGCAGCAUCGCCGGGUGCGGGAGGACGGCCUUCGGGGUGUAAACCGCUUUCGCCUGUGACGAAGCGUGAGUGACGGUAAUGGGUAAAGAAGCACCGGCUACCUACGU
rnacentral:rRNA from 1 species